rnacentral:rRNA from 1 species
GAUGAACGCUGGCGGCGUGCUUAACACAUGCAAGUCGAACGAGAAGUGAAGACGGAAACCUUCGGGCGGAAGGCUUUAUUUCGAGUGGCGGACGGGUGAGUAACGCGUGGGUAACCUGCCUCAUACAGGGGGAUAACAGUUGGAAACGACUGUUAAUACCGCAUAAGACCACAGCACCGCAUGGUGCGGGGGUAAAAACUCCGGUGGUAUGAGAUGGACCCGCGUUCGAUUAGCCAGUUGGCGGGGUAACGGCCCACCAAAGCGACGAUCGAUAGCCGAUCUGAGAGGAUGACCGGCCACAUUGGGACUGAGUCACGGCCCAAACUCCUACGGGAGGCAGCAGUGGGGAAUAUUGCACAAUGGGGGAAACCCUGAUGCAGCGACGCCGCGUGAGUGAAGAAGUAUUUCGGUAUGUAAAGCUCUAUCAGCAGGGAAGAAAAUGACGGUACCUGAGGAAGAAGCCCCGGCUAACUACGUG